CAAGAUAAGAGAAAUGCAAAUUGAGACAAUGAAAUACCACUCACAUCUACCAGAUUAGCAAGAAUUAAUUGAGUCUGACAACAACAGGGAUGGUGAGAUGUGAGCAUAAAGGAACUCUGGUGGGAGUGUAAAUUGGACCAGUCUCUUUGGAGAACAAUUUGGCAAUAUCUGUUGAAGUCGAAGAUGUGUUCCUUCUAUGAAAUAUCAAUUCUGCUCCUGGGCACAGAGCCCAGAGAAACUAUCAUAUAUGUGCACAGAUUUGUGUUUGUGUGUUUAUGUUGUUUAUGUGUAUGUAUACAUAUACACAUAUACACACACAUGUACAUAUAUGUACAUAUAUAUAUACACAUACACAAAAGGAUAUCGAUUACACAGCCCACAAAUUGUGGUUUAUGGAAUGUGUUAGCAGAAUUGAAUACUACACUAUGCAGAAGUUAGUACAAGUGUCCUAGGCUAACUUGUGAUCAAAAUAUAUAAAUUCUGGAGUUCCUGCUGUGGUGCAGCGUGUUAAGAAUACAGUGGCAGGAGUUCCCAUUGUGGCUCAGGAAAACAUCAUCAUAGAAGCCUUUCUUAUUUUGAGGUCUUGGCAGACUGGGACCAUUUAUUCCUGCCUGAGCAUCAUGUCUGCCAUCUUGGUUUUCCCAAGUGAUCAACAAUCAUGCUAACUUAGAGUGAGAGGUCCUCCUUCCUUUAAAGGUUGCAUCUGCCACCUGGGAAUCUAUCCUAGAUGGAUUGGAGCCCAUGGAAGGUGGAUUGGAGUGGGGAGUGGUGUACAGGUGAGCCUGGGGUCAGGUUGAUGCCAGAGAGACGUCCUCAGAAAACCUUUCCUCAGACAGUGUUGUGGAUAUUGAUAGCCUAGGGACCAUUCCCACUUCCCAACAGCAGCCUGGUUCCCUUCUGGGAGUUUUCUCUCCUCCAUUGUGUGUAGGCCUUGGGACUGGUUGGUCCAAUACAUCCCCUUCUGUGUUAAAAGUGAAAAGCUGCUCCUACUGGUGCCUUCUGCUGAGGCAGAGGCCUGUGACCUCAGCUCACCCCACUGUAUACUCUCGCCCAGUGACUUGUUUCUUGAUUGGGAGAACUGGUUGGGGACCCUGGUGAGGAUAUGUGGUAGCUUCUAUGACCAAGAUCUUCAGGGGGAGCCAAGGUCUCAUCUGUUCCAAGCCUGGUUUGCCAACCCCUGUGUCGAUCUUCUGUGCUUUUCUAUAUAUUUUCCCUUCCAAAAAGCACACCCCACCCCUACCUCCCCAUUUUCCUGAAAUAGUCAGUGUCAGCUGCUGUGUUGCAGUUAAAACUCUUGACAGACACAGGUCUUGGUUAGACCUGCGGAGCCCUCCUUACCUCACACAGGGGGUACCCUUCUAAUGACGAGGCUCUGUCCAUUUAAUUGCUUCUCUCACCCCUGGUGGUCAUGCGUAAACACUGCCCAUCUCUGACCUUUCCAGUUUCCCUUUUUCCAUCAACUUGCCCUCUUUCUGUCCUAGGCAGCACACAGAACAGCUGAUGUCAUCUCCAUUUUCUAAAUCCAGUUGGGUUUAAUAAUGUCACCUUGAAGGGCUCCUUAGGUGUUCCCAAACUCCUUGGACACACACUUGCAGAUACUCUUGUAGGUUAUUUCCCCCAUUUCUCUUAGAUAAUAGGCACCCUCAUCCAUCUGCAUAUGAAUUUCAUCCACCUAACUUUCCAAAGGCAACUGCAUUUCCCAGUUCUUGGAAGUCUACUUCACUUCUCUGCCUUGUGCACCAUCUAGAUGCUUCACUUUGUCUUCAAAUGAUUAAUAGCCCUUUGAAAAUGCUGUCUUCCUUGCUUCCUGACUGUGGCUAGCUUCUUUUAUUCAAACUCAUAUAUCAACUCUUUAUUAUGCUCUGCGUCCUGAAUGACAAGCUAGAGGAUGCAAAGAUAGGAAAGGCAGGUUUAUUGCCUUUAAGUGUUUAAAACCUAUUGGGGUGAGAUUUGUGUACAUGAAAUAAUUAGAGACAACCUAUACCUCUGAGGAUCUCCCAAUGGCUGUGAUAGUGGUUUUCAUACUGUGUUUCUGAAGCGCUUGUUGUGUGAUGCCCCGUGGGGGACACCUGGGGGUGGGGUGUGAGAAGGUGGACCACCUGUUGUUCUGCAGGAUGUCCUUGGAAUACAGUUAUCUGGCAGUUAUCAAGACAGAGCUACCUGCCUUGAGAGAAACAAAAUAAUUAGUGGCUGACAAUCUUGCUAACAUGCAAUGAGGGAUCUUUUCUUUCUUGGAAAGAAAAGUUGUCUCUGCCACUGCAGAUGAAACCUCUGCUCCCACCCAGGGAAGGUGGACUAGAAUUGAAGGGUGACUAGGUGAGCAUGGGGUCAGGUCAAAGGCAGAAGGAUGGACUCAGAGGAUAUUUUCUCAGACAACGGUUUGAGGACUGCAGGGGCCAAUCUUCUGCAGAUGUACAAGGCCCUCCUUGAUCUCCCCGUGGCUAUGGAUCCAUACCCACAUCCUGCUGCCCAAAUGCUGGGCUUGGGGGGCUUUCCUGACUCCUGGGUCUCCAUGCUGCCCUGUCCUCUAGUGUGCAGCUCUCCCUGCUUUGUGUGCAUGACCAGAAGCCCCCCAAACCAUACCCUGCCUCACUGAUAAACUCUGAAAACAGAAACCAUGUUUUAUUUGUAUUGACCCUUAGUAAAUAAGCCCCUCCAAUAAGCCAUUCCUGGCCCUGGCAUAUGUUUGUUGAAUUGAGAACUGGAUUUUGAGGUACCAGCCAUAAGCAUUAUCAGAACCUGGAGAUGAAGCAGAUCCUUACUGGCUCAGGGUGGUCUGAGAAGAUUUUCUAAAAAAAAAAAAAAA
ensembl:lncRNA